rnacentral:rRNA from 2 species
GGUUAAGCGACUAAGCGUACACGGUGGAUGCCUAGGCAGUCAGAGGCGAUGAAGGGCGUGCUAAUCUGCGAAAAGCGUCGGUAAGCUGAUAUGAAGCGUUAUAACCGACGAUACCCGAAUGGGGAAACCCAGUGCAAUACGUUGCACUAUCGUUAGAUGAAUACAUAGUCUAACGAGGCGAACCGGGGGAACUGAAACAUCUAAGUACCCCGAGGAAAAGAAAUCAACCGAGAUUCCCCCAGUAGCGGCGAGCGAACGGGGAGGAGCCCAGAGUCUGAAUCAGUUUGUGUGUUAGUGGAAGCGUCUGGAAAGUCGCACGGUACAGGGUGAUAGUCCCGUACACCAAAAUGCACAGGCUGUGAACUCGAUGAGUAGGGCGGGACACGUGACAUCCUGUCUGAAUAUGGGGGGACCAUCCUCCAAGGCUAAAUACUCCUGACUGACCGAUAGUGAACCAGUACCGUGAGGGAAAGGCGAAAAGAACCCCGGCGAGGGGAGUGAAAUAGAACCUGAAACCGUGUACGUACAAGCAGUGGGAGCACCUUCGUGGUGUGACUGCGUACCUUUUGUAUAAUGGGUCAGCGACUUAUAUUUUGUAGCAAGGUUAACCGAAUAGGGGAGCCGUAGGGAAACCGAGUCUUAACUGGGCGUCUAGUUGCAAGGUAUAGACCCGAAACCCGGUGAUCUAGCCAUGGGCAGGUUGAAGGUUGGGUAACACUAACUGGAGGACCGAACCGACUAAUGUUGAAAAAUUAGCGGAUGACUUGUGGCUGGGGGUGAAAGGCCAAUCAAACCGGGAGAUAGCUGGUUCUCCCCGAAAGCUAUUUAGGUAGCGCCUCGUGAACUCAUCUUCGGGGGUAGAGCACUGUUUCGGCUAGGGGGCCAUCCCGGCUUACCAAACCGAUGCAAACUCCGAAUACCGAAGAAUGUUAUCACGGGAGACACACGGCGGGUGCUAACGUCCGUCGUGAAGAGGGAAACAACCCAGACCGCCAGCUAAGGUCCCAAAGUCAUGGUUAAGUGGGAAACGAUGUGGGAAGGCACAGACAGCCAGGAUGUUGGCUUAGAAGCAGCCAUCAUUUAAAGAAAGCGUAAUAGCUCACUGGUCGAGUCGGCCUGCGCGGAAGAUGUAACGGGGCUAAACCAUGCACCGAAGCUGCGGCAGCGACACUUAGGCGUUGUUGGGUAGGGGAGCGUUCUGUAAGCCGUUGAAGGUGACCUGUGAGGGUUGCUGGAGGUAUCAGAAGUGCGAAUGCUGACAUAAGUAACGAUAAUGCGGGUGAAAAACCCGCACGCCGGAAGACCAAGGGUUCCUGUCCAACGUUAAUCGGGGCAGGGUGAGUCGACCCCUAAGGCGAGGCUGAAAAGCGUAGUCGAUGGGAAACAGGUUAAUAUUCCUGUACUUGGUGUUACUGCGAAGGGGGGACGGAGAAGGCUAGGCUGGCCGGGCGACGGUUGUCCCGGUUUAAGCGUGUAGGGGGAGUGACCAGGUAAAUCCGGUUGCUUAUCAACCCUGAGGCGUGAUGACGAUGCACCACGGUGCAGAAGCAGUUGAUGCCAUGCUUCCAGGAAAAGCCUCUAAGCAUCAGGUAACAUUAAAUCGUACCCCAAACCGACACAGGUGGUCAGGUAGAGAAUACUCAGGCGCUUGAGAGAACUCGGGUGAAGGAACUAGGCAAAAUGGUGCCGUAACUUCGGGAGAAGGCACGCUGGCGUUAGGUGAAAGGACUAGCUCCUGGAGCUGAAGCCAGUCGCAGAUACCAGCUGGCUGCAACUGUUUAAUAAAAACACAGCACUGUGCAAACACGAAAGUGGACGUAUACAGUGUGACGCCUGCCCGGUGCUGGAAGGUUAAUUGAUGGGGUCAGCCGCAAGGCGAAGCUCUUGAUCGAAGCCCCAGUAAACGGCGGCCGUAACUAUAACGGUCCUAAGGUAGCGAAAUUCCUUGUCGGGUAAGUUCCGACCUGCACGAAUGGCGUAAUGAUGGCCAGGCUGUCUCCACCCGAGACUCAGUGAAAUUGAACUCGCUGUGAAGAUGCAGUGUACCCGCGGCAAGACGGAAAGACCCCGUGAACCUUUACUAUAGCUUGACACUGAACAUUGAGCCUUGAUGUGUAGGAUAGGUGGGAGGCCUUGAAGUGUGGACGCCAGUCUGCAUGGAGCCAACCUUGAAAUACCACCCUUUAAUGUUUGAUGUUCUAACUCGGCCCCAUGAUCUGGGGUGAGGACAGUGUCUGGUGGGUAGUUUGACUGGGGCGGUCUCCUCCCAAAGAGUAACGGAGGAGCACGAAGGUUAGCUAAUCACGGUCGGACAUCGUGAGGUUAGUGCAAAGGCAUAAGCUAGCUUGACUGCGAGAGUGACGGCUCGAGCAGGUACGAAAGUAGGUCUUAGUGAUCCGGUGGUUCUGAAUGGAAGGGCCAUCGCUCAACGGAUAAAAGGUACUCCGGGGAUAACAGGCUGAUACCGCCCAAGAGUUCAUAUCGACGGCGGUGUUUGGCACCUCGAUGUCGGCUCAUCACAUCCUGGGGCUGAAGUAGGUCCCAAGGGUAUGGCUGUUCGCCAUUUAAAGUGGUACGCGAGCUGGGUUUAGAACGUCGUGAGACAGUUCGGUCCCUAUCUGCCGUGGGCGUUGGAAGAUUGAGAGGGGCUGCUCCUAGUACGAGAGGACCGGAGUGGACGAAUCACUGGUGUUCGGGUUGUCAUGCCAAUGGCAUUGCCCGGUAGCUAAAUUCGGAAGAGAUAACCGCUGAAAGCAUCUAAGCGGGAAACUUGCCUCGAGAUGAGUCUUCCCUGGGGCUUAAAGCCCCCUGAAGGAACGUUAAAGACUAUGACGUUGAUAGGCUGGGUGUGUAAGUGCAGCGAUGUAUUGAGCUAACCAGUACUAAUGAUCCGUGAGGCUUAACCUU